CCUACGGGUGGCUGCAGUGAGGAAUAUUGGGCAAUGGGCGCGAGCCUGAUCCAGCCACGUCGCGUGAAGGAUGACUGUCCUACGGUUUUUAAGCUCUUUUUAUAAAGGAAUAAAGUGAGGCACGUGUGCCUUUUUGUAUGUACUUUAUCUAUCAGGAACGCCUAACUUCGUACCAGCGGCCGCGGUAAUACGGAGGAUCCGAGCGUUAUCCGGAUUGCUUGGGUUUAAAGGGAGCGUAGAUGGGUUGUUAAGUCAGUUGUGAAAGUUUGCGGAUCAACCGUACAAGUGCAAUUGAUACUGGCAGUCUUGAGUGCAGAUGAGGGAGGCGGAAUUCGUUGUGUAGCGGUGAAAUGCGUAGAUAUCACGAAGAACACCAAUUGCGAAGGCAGCUUACUAGACUGCAACUGACAUUGAGGCUCGAAAGUGUGGGUAUCAAACAGGAUUAGAUACCCCAGUAGUC
rnacentral:rRNA from 1 species